rnacentral:rRNA from 1 species
UACGGAGGGUGCGAGCGUUAAUCGGAAUCACUGGGCGUAAAGGGCACGCAGGCGGACUUUCAAGUUAGAUGUGAAAUCCCCGGGCUCAACCUGGGAACUGCAUUACAUACUGGCAGUCUAGAGUAUUUUAGGGAGGGGUAGAAUUCCAAGUGUAGCGGUGAAAUGCGCAGAGAUGUGGAGGAAUACCGGUGGCGAAGGCGGCCCCCUGGACAUAUACUGACGCUCAGGUGCGAAAGCGUGGGGAGCAAACAGG